rnacentral:rRNA from 1 species
GGAUGGGAUGGACGCAAGUCUGAUCCAGCAAUACCGCGUGUGUGAAGAAGGCCUUCGGGUUGUAAAGCACUUUUGUACGGGAAGAAAAGCUCCGGGUGAAUAUCCUGGGGUCAUGACGGUACCGUAAGAAUAAGCACCGGCUAACUUCGUGCCAGCAGCCGCGGUAAUACGAAGGGUGCAAGCGUUAAUCGGAAUUACUGGGCGUAAAGCGUGCGUAGGCGGUUCGUUAAGUCUGUCGUGAAAGCCCUGG